CCUACGGGUGGCUGCAGUGAGGAAUUUUGGUCAAUGGACGCAAGUCUGAACCAGCCAUGUCGCGUGAAGGAGGACGGCCCUAAGGGUUGUAAACUUCUUUUGCAGUGGAAUAAAGUUUGCCACGUGUUGGCGAUUUGCAAGUACGCUGCGAAUAAGGAUCGGCUAACUACGUGCCAGCAGCCGCGGUAAGACGUAGGGGGCAAGCGUUACCCGGAAUUACUGGGCGUAAAGGGGGCGUAGGCGGUAAAAGAAGUCAUCUGUGAAAACCUAUUGCUCAACGAUAGGCUAGCGGAUGAAACUGAAUUACUUGAGGGCACCAGAGGUAGACGGAAUUACCCGAGUAGGGGUGAAAUCCGCAGAUACGGGUAGGAACGCCGGUGGAGAAGUCGGUCUACUGGGGUGCACCAGACGCUGAGGCCCGAAAGCUAGGGGAGCAAACCGGAUUAGAUACCCUGGUAGUC
rnacentral:rRNA from 1 species